UCUGGUGACAAUGGCAAGGAGGUCACACCUGUUCCCAUGCCGAACACAGAAGUUAAGCUCCUUAGCGUCUGAAUCUGAAUCGCUGUCGCUAUCU
rnacentral:rRNA from 1 species